rnacentral:misc_RNA from 1 species
AUGUGGCCCAAUAUCCUCAAACUAGAGAACAAGAACAAAUUAGUGAGCAAAUAAGCAUGUAAAGAUAGAAACAAGCAACUAUCUAAUGGUUUUCAAAUGUUUUAUUUUAAACUAGGCAGUGAGGGCGUCGAGCAUUAUGGUGUUAUAAAGGCAUGAUUCUUUAGACAAAGGUCCUAGAAGUUAUAUGAUAAAAGUGUCAUGUGAAAAGCAGUGAUAACACCAAGUCAGUGGCCUUUGCAAUUGUAUAAAAUCAUAUGUGCUCAAUAAGUUACAAAUUAGGAAACUAAGAAGGAUAUUCUGAUUGGAUUCCAAGUCAAGCUAUUCACAUGAUGUUCAUCAUACUGAUUUGCUUCAUAAUAGGA